rnacentral:rRNA from 1 species
AUGGCCAGGGUGGUCUGGAGGACGGUGGGUUGUGUUCUGGGUACGGACAUCUGUCCGAACAAUAUAUGGCAAUAUUUUUCGUGGUGCUACGUUUUCCUUCCUGAUGGAGGAAAGUUUUACACAUUUGUGCUUGCAGCCGUGUGCUGGGCUAUAUGGAAUUGCCGAAACCAAGCUACCUUUGAACAGAAAAAUUUAAAGACUCCUUUUGCUGUGAUUUAUUCUGCUUGUGGCUUCAUCUCUUAUUGGGCAAGGAUGAUGACUGGGACGAACCGGGAGGCGAUGGAGAGAGGAGCUAAAAUGCUAAGAGCCAGCGCAUCAGACAUGAUGAGGAUCUGUGCGGCUUCAGGCAAGAUGGCGCAGGACUGA